rnacentral:rRNA from 1 species
CCUANGGGUGGCAGCAGUAAGGAAUCUUCCACAAUGGGGGCAACCCUGAUGGAGCAAUACCGCGUGCAGGAUGAAGCGUUUCGGCGUGUAAACUGCUUUUAUCACCGAAGAUUAUGACUGUAGGUGAAGAAUAAGGACCGGCUAACUACGUGCCAGCAGCCGCGGUAAUACGUAGGGUCCAAGCGUUAUCCGGAAUUACUGGGCGUAAAGCGUCUGUAGGCGGCUUAAUAAGUCGGGUGCGAAAUCUUGCGGCUCAACCGUAUAGACUGUGCUCGAAACUAUUUAGCUAGAGGUAGGUAGAGGCAAGUGGAAUUUCUGGUGUAGGAGUGACAUCCGUAGAUAUCAGAAGGAACACCAAUGGCGAAGGCAGCUUGCUGGGCCUUACCUGACGCUCAGAGACGAAAGCGUGGGGAGCGAACGGGAUUAGAUACCCCGNUANUC